UGAUGAUGACCCGUCACACCACGAAAAAAUAUGUCGAGUAAAGAAUUGCGUGAACACAACUGCAGAAUGGUAUAAGGAAUCCUCUCAUGAACAAGUUACAACAGAUUUUAAAAAAAAUGGAAUUUAUCAGAAAAUAGAUGGAAGUUCCUCCACGCUACACUUUGACAACGCAACAAUUUUGGACAUAGGGAAAUACUAUUGUCGUGCUCAUAAUUCAAGCAAGGAAUUUUUUGACUUCAAAGUUGAUGGAAAUCCAACGAUUACAUCAAUCACAAAUUCAUCAUGUAGCCGAAGUUUGUUCGUUACCUGGAAUCCAAGCAGAUAUGCAGUUGGCUUUCGACACAAAAUUACAGCAAAUAAUUAUAUUACCAAAGAAGAAAGCUUUUCGACAUUCAUUAUUCCUAAAUCAAACACAUCAGUGAUCCGUGAGAUUUCAG